GAUCCUGGCUCAGAAUCAACGCUGGCGGCGUGCCUAACACAUGCAAGUCGAACGUGAAAGGGGCUUCGGCCCCGAGUAAAGUGGCAAACGGGUGAGUAACGCGUGGGUGAUCUGCCUCUGAGUGGGGGAUAACCUUCCGAAAGGAGGGCUAAUACCGCAUGACAUCCUGUUCUUGGAUGAACGGUGAUCGAAGCUGGGGACCGCAAGGCCUGGCGCUUGGAGAGGAGCCCGCGUCCGAUUAGCUAGUUGGUGGGGUAAGAGCCUACCAAGGCGACGAUCGGUAGCCGGCCUGAGAGGGCGGACGGCCACACUGGGACUGAGACACGGCCCAGACUCCUACGGGAGGCAGCAGUGGGGAAUUGUUCGCAAUGGGCGCAAGCCUGACGACGCAACGCCGCGUGGGGGAUGAAGGUCUUCGGAUUGUAAACCCCUGUUGGGUGGGACGAACACUCCUGUGGUGAACAGCCAUGAGAGCUGACGGUACCACCUGAGGAAGCCCCGGCUAACUCUGUGCCAGCAGCCGCGGUAAUACAGAGGGGGCAAGCGUUGUUCGGAAUUACUGGGCGUAAAGGGCGCGUAGGCGGCCUGUUAAGUCGGACGUGAAAUCCCUCGGCUCAACCGGGGAACUGCGUCUGAUACUGGCGGGCUUGAAUUCGGGAGAGGGAUGUGGAAUUCCAGGUGUAGCGGUGA
rnacentral:rRNA from 1 species